rnacentral:sRNA from 1 species
CCCGCGCCCACGACCUGCGCGGCUUCCUCAACUUCACGCUGGCGCGAGCCCCGUCCUCCUUCGCCGCCGCGCACAACCGCACGUGCAGGUAUCGGGCUUUCCGGGAUGACGAUGGACAUUAUUCCCAGACCUACUGGAAUCUUCUUGCCAUCCGCCUGGCCUUCGUCAUUGUGUUUGAGGUAGCCGAGGCACCUGCUGGUUCUCCCAUCCAUGGCAUGAUGCCCCGACCCUGUGCUUUGCCUAAUUCGAGCACGUGGUGAGGGGUCGGUGCCGUCACUUCCUGCUGUGUCAUCUUGGUCAAAUCAGAGCUCUUCUCUGCACCUGCGUUUUCCCUGCCUGGCCUCAUCCCUGGGUUGUGGUGUGGACAUUGUGGGUGUCUCCACAGGAGCCCCAGGGCCACGAAAGCUGGGGUGGCCUCUGCCCUUUCUGGGGUUCCUUUUCCUGCACAGCUGCUUUCAGACACCACCCACAGCUGGGAGCAGGUGCCGGAGCCCCGGCCUGCCUGGCCCUGUGAAGGCCACUCUGGGCGUUUGGGUGGGCGUGAGUGCCUUCCUCUGCUCCCAGCAUGUGGUUUUCUCCGUUGGCCGCCUCCUGGACCUCCUGGUGCCUGACAUCCCAGAGUCUGUGGAGAUCAAAGUGAAGCGGGAGUACUACCUGGCUAAGCAGGCACUGGCUGAGAAUGAGGUGAACUGUACAGCCCAGUCUCGGCCCUCCCCCCAGCCCUCUCCCUAUCCUUGUCAGUGGCUGCUCUACCUCCGGACACUUAGUCACAUCCCUCUUCCUCUUGCUGCCCUUUUUUGGGGACAGGUUCUUUUUGGAACGAACGGAACAAAGGAUGAGCAGCCCCAGGGCUCAGAGCUCAGCUCCCACUGGACACCCUUCACGGUUCCCAAGGCCAGCCAGCUGCAGCAGUGACGCCUGGAAGGACAUCUGGUGGUCCUUAGGGGAGUGGCCCCUCCUGAGCCCUGCAAGCAGCGUCCUUUUCCUCUUCCCUCAGGCAGCGGUUGUGUGAACCGCUGGCUGCUGUUGUGCCUCAUCUCUGGGCACAUUGCCUGCUUCCCCCCAGCGCCGGCUUCCCUCCUCAGAGCGCCUGUCACUCCAUCCCCGGCAGGGAGGGACCGUCAGCUCACAAGGCCCUCUUUGUUUCCUGCUCCCAGACAUAAGCCCAAGGGGCCCCUGCACCCAAGGGACCCUGUCCCUCAGUGGCCUCCCCAGGCCCCUGGACACGACAGUUCUCCUCAGGCAGGUGGGCUUUGUGGUCCUUGCCGCCCCUGGCCACAUCACCCUCUCCUCUUACACCUGGUGACCUUCGAAUGUUGCAGAGCGCAGGGCCGUUCUCCCUCGUGUCCUCUGGACCCACCCGCCUCUUCCUGCCCUGUCCGCGCAGGGACAUCACCCACAUGCCCCAGCUCUCGGACCCUGCAGCUCUGUGUCCCAGGCCACAGCAAAGGUCUGUUCAGCCCCUCUCUCCAUUCCCAGUUAUCUGGGUCCUCUGGAUUCUUCUGUUUCUUGAAUCAGGCUCUGCUUUCCCCCUAGCCACUACAGGCAGCCUCUGACAGUGCCGCUUUACUUGCAUUCUGCAGCAAUUACAUGUGUCCUUUUGAUCCUUGCCCAACUUCCCUCCCUCUCCCAGCUCCUGGCCCCUGGCCCAGGGCCCCUCUUGCUGUUUUUACCUCUGUUCCUUGGGGCCUAGUACCCAGCAAGCACCCAAAUGGGGGAGGUUUUGGGAUGAGAGGAGGAAACGUGUAUACCUGUAACAUCUGGUGGCUCUUCCCCCAGAAGUUUGUGUUCAUACAUAAUUGUUUUCCACGCUGGAUCAUAAUGUGACGUGCAGUUCUGCCCAGUGCUGGGGAGCCACAUGAAGCUGCCCCUGGCUAACUUGCUACCCCGCAGCAAUCCCAGUGUGGCCGUCUGCUUGCUAAAAAAUGGAUCUGUGCUCAUCUGUAUUGAUGUCCUUGCAGUUCUACAAGUGGAACUUAAGUGUCAAAAAGAAUAUGUGGUUUUUAGCUGAGUGUGGUGGCUCACACCUGUAAUCCUAGGACUUUGGGAGGCUGAGGCGGGAGGAUUACAAGGUCAGGAGUUCGGGACUAGCCUGUCCAACAUGGUGAAACCCUGUCUUUACUAAAAAUGCAAAAAUUA